GUAAAAUUGUUUAUCAGGUCAAGAUCUAUCUGCCCUGAAAUUUUCAGAUGAAUCUGAUAACCCGUUGUUGGGUUGCUCUCCCUGAAUUGGUAAUUUUAAGGAAAUUUUGCUGUUUUUGGUUAUUAUCUUGAAUAUUAUUAUAGAUAGAGAUAAACUGUAAACAUCAAUAAUGUUAAGCAAAGUAAGAUUUACAAAUAAGUCAACAUGACGAAAAUGGUCAAUUGACCCCUAAGGAGUUAUUGUCCUUUAUAGUCAAUUUUUAACAAUUUUCAUAAAAUUUGUAAAUUUUAACUAACAUUUUCCACUGAAACUACUGGGCCAAGUUCAUUAUAGAUAGAGAUAAUUGUAAGCAGCUAGAAUGUUCAGUAAAAUAAGAUGUACAAACACAUCACCAUCACCAAAACACAAUUUUGUCAUGAAUCCAUCUGCUUCCUUUGUUUGAUAUUCACAUAGACCAAGGUGAUCGACACAGGCUCUUUAGAGCCUCUAGUU
rnacentral:lncRNA from 1 species